AACGAACGCUGGCGGCAUGCCUAACACAUGCAAGUCGAACGAGACCUUCGGGUCUAGUGGCGCACGGGUGCGUAACGCGUGGGAACCUGCCCUUAGGUUCGGAAUAACUCCCCGAAAGGGGUGCUAAUACCGGAUAAUGUCUUCGGACCAAAGAUUUAUCGCCUUUGGAUGGGCCCGCGUUGGAUUAGCUAGUUGGUAGGGUAAAAGCCUACCAAGGCGACGAUCCAUAGCUGGUCUGAGAGGAUGAUCAGCCACACUGGGACUGAGACACGGCCCAGACCCCUCCGGGAGGCAGCAGUGGGGAAUAUUGGAAAAGGGGCGAAAGCCUGACCCAGCAAUGCCGGGUGAGUGAUGAAGGCCUUAGGGUUGUAAAGCUCUUUUCCCCGGGAUGAUAAUGACAGUACCGGGAGAAUAAGCCCCGGCUAACCCCGU
rnacentral:rRNA from 1 species